UACGUAGGGUGCAAGCGUUGUCCGGAUUUACUGGGCGUAAAGAGCGCGCAGGCGGUCGUUCAAGUCGAGUGUGAAAGCCCCCGGCUCAACUGGGGAGGGUCACUCGAUACUGAUCGACUUGAAGGCAGGAGAGGGAAGCGGAAUUCCCGGUGUAGUGGUGAAAUGCGUAGAUAUCGGGAGGAACACCAGUGGCGAAGGCGGCUUCCUGGCCUGCUCUUGACGCUGAGGCGCGAAAGCUAGGGUAGCAAACGGG
rnacentral:rRNA from 1 species